ACACAACAGUGAAACAGCAGGCAAUGAGUGUUUUUUUUUUUUUUUACAGUGGUUUAAAGGCAGCACUGAGAUGAACCUAAUCUAAAAAAAAUGUACUAUAGCUGUAACUGCAUGAUGUAAAACUGGCUCGGGAUCUAUA